CUGUAUGAAUGGCAUCACGAGGGCUUAACUGUCUCCCCUCCCCAGUCAAUGAAAUUGAUCUCCCCGUGCAGAAGCGGGGAUAAUACCAUAAGACGAGAAGACCCUAUGGAGCUUUAGACGUCAGAGCAGCCCAUGUAAAGCACCCCUUAACAAAGGAAAAAACCAAAUGAAGCCUGCCCUAAUGUCUUUGGUUGGGGCGACCGCGGGGAAAUACAAAACCCCCAUGUGGAGUAGGAAUACACAUUCCUAAACCCAAGAGCUCCCGCUCUAAUGAACAGAAAUUCUGACCAAUAAGAUCCGGCACACGCCGAUCAACGGACCGAGUUACCCUAGGGAUAACAGCGCAAUCCCCUUAAAGAGCCCUUAUCGACAAGGGGGUUUACGACCUCGAUGUUGGAUCAGGACAUCCUAAUGGUGCAGCCGCUAUUAAGGGUUCGUUUGUUCAAC
rnacentral:rRNA from 1 species